CCUACGGGUGGCAGCAGUGGGGAAUCUUGGGCAAUGGGCGCAAGCCUGACCCAGCAACGCCGCGUGAAGGAAGAAGGCUUUCUGGUUGUAAACUUCUUUUAUCAGGGACGAAGCAAGUGACGGUACCUGAUGAAUAAGCCACGGCUAACUACGUUCCAGCAGACGCGGUAAUACGUAGGUGGCAAGCGUCAUCCGGAUUUACUGGGUGUAAAGGGCGUGUAGGCGGGAAAGCAAGUCAGAUGUGAAACCCAUGGGCUAAACCUGUGGCCUGCAUUUGUAACUGUUUUUCUUGAGUACUGGAGAGGCAGACGGAAUUCCUAGUGUAGCGGUGAAAUGCUUAGAUAUGAGGAGGAACACCAGUGGCGAAGGCGGUCUGCUGGACAGCAACUGACGCUGAGGCGCGAAAGCGGGGGGAGCAAACAGGAUUAGAUACCCGAGUAGUC
rnacentral:rRNA from 1 species